ACGGGAGGCAGCAGUGGGGAAUAUUGGGCAAUGGACGAAAGUCUGACCCAGCGACGCCGCGUGAGGGAAGAAGGUCUUCGGAUUGUAAACCUCUUUCAGCAGGGAAGAAGAAAGUGACGGUACCUGCAGAAGAAGUCACGGCUAACUACGUGCCAGCAGCCGCGGUAAUACGUAGGUGGCGAGCGUUAUCCGGAAUUACUGGGUGUAAAGGGUGUGUAGGCGGGGAAGCAAGUCAGAUGUGAAAAUUAUGGGCUCAACUCAUAACCUGCAUUUGAAACUGUUUUUCUUGAGAGUGGGAGAGGUAAACGGAAUUCCUGGUGUAGUAGUGAAAUGCGUAGAUAUCAGGAGGAACACCGGUGGCGAAGGCGGUUUACUGGACCACAACUGACGCUGAGACACGAAAGCGUGGGGAGCAAACAGGAUUAGAUACCCUGGUA
rnacentral:rRNA from 1 species